AGGGGGCUGCUGAGGGAGUUCGUUCCGGGGCUCGAGGGUCUUUUCUCAAGUCUCUCGGGCUGCCUGGCGGGGCUGCAGCGGGGCCGGUCUGUGGCGCAGCUGUGGCACCGGGGCACACCAAGGCAAACCCCUCGCGUUCCUGCCGUUCCCAGCAGUGCCUCCCCGGCCCCUGCAGCGUGCCCGGGACACGCUCAGGGGGCGCAGUGCGAGGUCUCUCGCUUACUUUUGGACUUGGACAGACCUAAUCUGUGAAGAUAAUUAAAGUUCCUUUGCUCUGGAUGCUCUGUGGGAACGAUUUUCUGGCUUGUAGAACAAAGAAGUUGGAACAGAUGACACAGCCAACAUCUGCACCUGGCUCACUGAGGAAGCGAGUAUUUGGCACGGAGCAGAAC